rnacentral:lncRNA from 1 species
AUUGAUUAUCACCUUAACUCUUGGCAUCUUCCUCUAACUCCAUUCCUCUCUCCUCAUCCCUCUCCUCAUUCCUCUCUCCUCAUCCCUUUCCUCAUUCCUCUCUCCUCAUCCCUUUCCUCAUUCCUCUCUCCUCAUCCCUUUCCUCAUUCCUCAUCCCUUUCCUCAUUCCUCUCUCCUCAUUCCUCUCUCCUCAUUCCUCUCUCCUCAUUCCUCUCUCCUCAUUCCUCUCUCCUCAUUCCUCUCUCCUCAUUCCUCUCUCCUCAUUCCUCUCUCCUCAUUCCUCUCCUCAUUCCUCUCCUCAUCCCUCUCCUCAUUCCUCUCGCCCAUACUCCUCCUCAUUCCUCUCCUCAUUCCUCUCCUCAUUCCUCUCGCCCAUACUCCUCCCCCUCUCCUCAUUCCUCUCCCCCAUACUCCUCCUCCCCCUCUCCUCAUUCCUCUCCCCCAUACUCCUCAUCCCUCUCCUCAUUCCUCUCCCCCAUACUCCUCAUCCCUCUCCUCAUUCCUCUCCCCCAUACUCCUCAUCCCUCUCCUCAUUCCUCUCCCCCAUACUCCUCAUCCCUCUCCUCAUUCCUCUCGCCCAUACUCCUCAUUCCUCUCCUCAUCCCUUUCCUCAUUCCUCUCUCCUCAUCCCUUUCCUCAUUCCUCAUUCCUCUCCUCAUUCCUCUCUCCUCAUUCCUCUCUCCUCAUUCCUCUCCUCAUUCCUCUCUCCUCAUUCCUCUCCUCAUUCCUCUCCUCAUUCCUCUCUCCUCAUUCCUCUCCUCAUUCCUCUCCUCAUUCCUCUCCUCAUUCCUCUCCUCAUUCCUCUCCUCAUCCCUCUCCUCAUCCCUCUCAUUCCUCUCGCCCAUACUCCUCCUCAUUCCUCUCCUCAUUCCUCUCCUCAUUCCUCUCGCCCAUACUCCUCCUCAUCCCUCUCCUCAUUCCUCUCGCCCAUACUCCUCCUCAUCCCUCUCCUCAUUCCUCUCGCCCAUACUCCUCCUCAUCCCUCUCCUCAUUCCUCUCGCCCAUACUCCUCCUCAUCCCUCUCCUCAUUCCUCUCGCCCAUACUCCUCCUCAUCCCUCUCCUCAUUCCUCUCGCCCAUACUCCUCCUCAUCCCUCUCCUCAUUCCUCUCUCCCAUACUCCUCAUCCCUCUCCUCAUUCCUCUCUCCCAUACUCCUCCUCAUCCCUCUCCUCAUUCCUCUCUCCCAUACUCCUCCCCCUCUCCCCCCUCUCCUCCCAUUCCUCCCUUUCUCUUCAGACUGCCAACCUAGCGGAGGCCAAUGCGUCAGAGGAUGACAAGAUCAGAGCCAUGAUGUCCCAGUCCAACAGUGAAUAUGACCCCAUACAGUGA